rnacentral:rRNA from 1 species
UACGGGGGGGGCAAGCGUUGUUCGGAAUUACUGGGCGUAAAGGGCGCGUAGGCGGUUGGAUAAGUCAGCUGUGAAAACCACGGGCUUAACUCGUGGCCUGCAGUUGAGACUGUCUGGCUUGAGUGUGGGAGAGGAGAGUGGAAUUCCAGGUGUAGCGGUGAAAUGCGUAGAUAUCGGGAGGAACACCAGUGGCGAAGGCGACUACCUGGCCUGUUCUUGACGCUGAGGCGCGAAAGCUAGGGGAGCAAACGGG